GCAAACUUGGUCAUUUAGAGGAAGUAAAAGUCGUAACAAGGUUUCCGUAGGUGAACCUGCGGAAGGAUCAUUAUUGUAGGGGUCUAACAAGCCCACUGCGAGAUGCAACCCUUGCUCUUUAGCGCAAUGUUUUGUUUUCCUCGGCAGCCUCGCCUGCCAAUAGGGGACCCUUAGAAACCUUUGCAAUCUCAGCAUAACUGUCAGAAACGCUUCAAAAAUCACAACUUUCAACAAUGGAUCUCUUGGCUCCAGCAUCGAUGAAGAACGCAGC
rnacentral:misc_RNA from 1 species